rnacentral:rRNA from 1 species
UACGUAGGGUGCGAGCGUUGUCCGGAAUUAUUGGGCGUAAAGGGCUCGUAGGCGGUCUGUUGCGUCGGGAGUGAAAACUCAGGGCUUAACCCUGAGCCUGCUUCCGAUACGGGCAGACUAGAGGUAUGCAGGGGAGAACGGAAUUCCUGGUGUAGCGGUGAAAUGCGCAGAUAUCAGGAGGAACACCGGUGGCGAAGGCGGUUCUCUGGGCAUUACCUGACGCUGAGGAGCGAAAGCCAGGGGAGUAAACGGG